GCUUAUCACCAUUCCAGAUUGAAUAUACCCGAUCUCGUCUGAUCUCGGAAGUCAAGCAAUCUCGGGCUUGGUUAAUACUCAGGAUGGGUGACCGCUUGGGAAUACGCAAGUGUGAUAAGCA
rnacentral:rRNA from 1 species